GGACUACAGGGGUUUCUAAUCCCGUUCGCUCCCCACGCUGUCGUGUCUGAAUGUCGGAGUCAGGCCAGGAGGCCGCCUUCGCCUCUGGGGUUCUGCCGGAUCUCUACGCAUUUCACCACUACACCCGGCAUUCCACCUCCCUCUCCUGCUCCCGAGAAAGACAGUCUGGCAUAACCCGCCCAGGUUGAGCCUGGGGCUUUCAUACACCACUUAUCUCCCCAUCUGCACACGCUUUACGCCCAGUAAAUCCGGAUAACGCUCGCCACCUACGUUUUACCGCGGCUGCUGGCAC
rnacentral:rRNA from 1 species